rnacentral:rRNA from 1 species
UACGGAGGAUGCAAGCGUUAUCCGGAAUUAUUGGGCGUAAAGCGUCUGUAGGUUGUGUAGUAAGUCUAUUGUUAAAUCUUAAGGCUCAACCUUAAAUCAGCGGUAGAAACUACUAUACUAGAGUAUAGUAAGGGUAAAAGGAAUUUUCAAUGUAGCGGUGAAAUGUGUAGAUAUUGAGAAGAACACCAGUGGCGAAAGCGCUUUACUAGACUAUUACUGACACUCAUAGACGAAAGCUAAGGGAGCGAAUGGG